rnacentral:lncRNA from 10 species
AAGUUAGCUGUAGAAGCAGUUCUCAGACUGAAAGGCUCUGGCAACCUGGAGGCAAUUCAUAUUAUCAAGAAGCUAGGAGGAAGUUUGGCAGAUUCCUAUUUAGAUGAAGGCUUCCUGUUGGAUAAAAAAAUUGGAGUAAAUCAACCAAAACGAAUUGAAAAUGCUAAAAUUCUUAUUGCAAAUACUGGUAUGGAUACAGACAAAAUAAAGGUAUGUAACUCUACUUUUUAAAAAUUAAAAUUACUGCCCAGGCAGAGUGGCUCAUGCCUGUAAUCCUAGCAAUUUGGGAGGCCAAGGUGGUGGAUCAUCUGAGAUCAGAAGUUUGAGACCAGCCUGACCAACAUGGAGAAACCCUGUCUCUACU